rnacentral:rRNA from 1 species
CGCGGCCUAUCAGCUUGUUGGUGGGGUAGUGGCCUACCAAGGCGACGACGGGUAGCCGGCCUGAGAGGGCGACCGGCCACACUGGGACUGAGACACGGCCCAGACUCCUACGGGAGGCAGCAGUGGGGAAUAUUGCGCAAUGGGCGAAAGCCUGACGCAGCGACGCCGCGUGAGGGAUGACGGCCUUCGGGUUGUAAACCUCUUUCAGCAGGGACGAAGCGCAAGUGACGGUACCUGCAGAAGAAGCACCGGCUAACUACGUGCCAGCAGCCGCGGUAAUACGUAGGGUGCGAGCGUUGUCCGGAAUUAUUGGGCGUAAAGAGCUCGUAGGCGGUUUGUCGCGUCGACUGUGAAAACCUACAGCUUAACUGUGGGCUUGCAGUCGAUACGGGCAGACUUGAGUUCGGUAGGGGAGGCUGGAAUUCCUGGUGUAGCGGUGAAAUGCGCAGAUAUCAGGAGGAACACCGGUGGCGAAGGCGGGUCUCUGGGCCGAUACUGACGCUGAGGAGCGAAAGCGUGGGGAGCGAACAGGAUUAGAUACCCUGGUAGUCCACGCCGUAAACGGUGGGAACUAGGUGUGGGGGACUUCCACGUCCUCCGUGCCGUAGCUAACGCAUUAAGUUCCCCGCCUGGGGAGUACGGC